GAUGAACGCUAGCUACAGGCUUAACACAUGCAAGUCGAGGGGAAACGAUGAGAGAGCUUGCUCUCUUAGGCGUCGACCGGCGCACGGGUGAGUAACGCGUAUCCAACCUACCCAUUACAGGGGGAUAACCUUGCGAAAGUAAGACUAAUACCCCAUGGCAUUUUAUGGUGGCAUCAUUAUAGGAUUAAAGAUUUAUUGGUAAUGGAUGGGGAUGCGUCUGAUUAGCUUGUUGGCGGGGUAACGGCCCACCAAGGCAACGAUCAGUAGGGGUUCUGAGAGGAAGGUCCCCCACAGUGGAACUGAGACAAGGUCCAAACUCCUACGGGAGGGAGCAGUGAGGAAUAUUGGUCAAUGGGCGAGAGCUUGAACCAGCCAAGUAGCGUGCAGGAUGACGGCGCUAUGGGUUGUAAACUGCUGUUAGAGGGGAAUAAAGUGAGCUACGUGUAGUUUAUUGCAUGUACCCUAUGAAUAAGGACCGGCUAAUUCCGUG
rnacentral:rRNA from 1 species